CACGGUUCACUUGUUCGCACACGUGUCAAUGCCGAAUGCGUGCCCAGAGGCCACAAAUUGUAGAUCCACGUGACAGUUUGCGGCGUGUGUUUCUCUGCGUAAUCGUCGCGUCCGGGCCGCGCGUCGAUUGUCGACACGAUGAAUUUCGAAAAGUUGUGCUAACAGAGAUCGACCGACCUUACGAACACCUCGCGUGUCAUUCGAGCCAAAAGCCGCGUUCUUACCGACAAUGAGGCAACGAGUUUCAUUUCAGCUGGUAGAAAAUCUAAGGAACAUUUCGUUCGUGUUAAAAUGGCAAUUCUCAGAAAAAGGUAUGCUCCUUGAACGUGCAGCAUGUAUCACCAGACUUCAUGCGUUUAUGACAAAGAUAAAUAGAUCGAAUUCAAAAGAAUAGAAUGUUUGUUUCGAUGGCAAUGGAUAAUACACUGCAAGAACAGAAACAAUAAACAUCAGACAUUCCUACUAACGAAUGGAAUUAUCGUCGGAAGAAUGAAAUACACAAUAUUGUGACAGUGUUUACAAAUAGUUGACAACAUCUGGUUCGCGGCAUACCGCCGCGUAAAUAGUAAACGAUGCUUGAUGAUAAUUACAAAUGGACGUGUGCAUACGCGACGUAUCCACUUUACGUCGAAAUAAAGAAAAUCAUGGGGUACGUAAAGAAUGUAACGGAACUGUUGUUUUCCCGCAAUUCAACACUAAAAUGUUAUUAUCUAGAAUUACGUACUUCAGGCUUAUUAUUCUCGGUGUAUUAAAUUCACACAACGAGCAAUGAACCAUUUCUUUAUCAGAAGGGUUCACAUUUAUAGUAUUCAGAUGAUUUUUCGUUUGUUAAUUUACAGCAUUUUUAUGUGGAUUUAAAAGGAAGCAUAUAUUUGCCACAGUCGAUCGUAUAAACAAUCCUUUUCUAGUGAAUCAGAGUGCUAAUUAAUACCAUGCACAGCAAAAAUUAUACAUCAAUCGUUUCGAACCAUAAAAUAUACUCUGCAUGCGAUACAUAUUAUUGUAUAUACACAUAUUGAAGAUGCCAGAAUGAUGUUAAUACUUUAAUAAAAAAAAAGAAGCAAUUGUUUGACAUUACAAAACAUGUCAUAAAAAACAUUUCAUAUUCCUGGAAUAUUCUGAUACUAACUAAUCUGAUAUCAUCCGUGUAAUGCUAAUUACAACGAUUAUAUGAAUUAUCACUUAUCUGAAAAUUGCGUUAAUAAAUACUAAUAAAUGCAACAUUAUUGCUUAGCACAAUUUCAGUAGUCACAAUUUGACUAAGAGAUUUAUUUGAUUUGACGACAGCUACGAUAAUAAAUGAAAUGAUAAAAAAAAUAAGAAUUGCUGACAUACUUUCAAUUGAAGCAAUGUAAAAUGUUGAAUUAAAAUGUAAUCAGUUUCUGGCUGAGUCUACGUUAGUUUAAAAUUCGUAAUCGUGUAAAUCAAACGACACUUUGUUAAUAUUCAAGUUCAUACAUCCGAUAUGUUAAUCAAUCAAACACGCUUCCUUUAUUAUUACCGUUACGCUCGAAUUAAUAUUGUAUAAUCCCCGUUAUUUUCACAGUGAAUUACAUCAAUGUUUGAUUGGAGUGGUGCACGUGUCGCCAUUUAAUCAGUAAUAGAAUUAUCAGUCAAUCUUUAUAUCAAGUGUAUCGAGGAAGUCGUUAUUAAUAAGCGAUAAUCAAAAUGUCAAUCACCCGUGAUAGGAUCGGUAUUAAUCAGAAAUGCGCCAACAUUCCUGUUAUGAUAAUAACUAUAUCAGUGUCAUUGGUACGGUAUAGUGAUCAAAAUCAUAGUAGCAGCAGCAGCAGUUUAAAUUACUAUGUCAGUAACCGUCGUGAAGAACACAGAGCAGGUGCUUUUGCUAAGUAUUUUCUUAAUUUUAUAUAACAAAUUCACUGAAGUUACCGAGCUGAUUUUAUACGAAAAAUUCAUCUCACGUUAUAACUUGUUGUUUGUAUAAGAAAUUAAUAUAAUAUAAUUUGUUCAUUGUA